rnacentral:lncRNA from 1 species
AUAUUAAGAAAUAGACCAAUUUCUCAAGAUGGAAUAUGGGAAGACUUGGCUGGGAAUUCAUUUGCUUGGAAGUUACAGUAGUCCUUUUAGAAGCUGCUGAAGAUACUGUUUUGGGAAAUACAAAAUUAUAUGGUCAGGAAGAAAGAACAGUACUGAGUAGUGUGUUAUUUAUUUAUCACCUGACAGGAUUUGAUGAAAUGACAGACGUGCUGCUCACGUUUUUCAGUUUUAGUGGGUGUAAAUCUUCUGUAUUUGGAGGGAUUUGCUUCUUUAAAAGGCAUUAAUUGAAAUGGUCCUCAAAGGAUGGAAUUUGAAUACCUCUAGUUUUCCUGUACUUUUUUAAAAUUGUACUAUGAUAUUGAAUACUUUCGCUGCCGUUGCUUGACUCCUGGUUAAGCUAUGAAUGCAGUUGAGUGCUUCUGCAGACAUGCCAGCUGCAGUUUCUCUCCUGGAGAACAGACUGAAUCACCCUGCAGUCCCUUUAAGCUGAGAUGAGAGAGAACUCUUUUACUUUGAAUAAAUGGGCCCAUUGUUAGUUUAAAGCUGUUGAGUCAUGGUGCCCAGUUACAAAGUUAACCUAGUUUAUGUAACUACGUAACGUAUAUUUCACAUGUAUGCUCACUUGCUGCUUUUAAGAUACCAAUUGCCUUUCUGGGGGGAGGGUUGUUUCAGAACUCUUUUCAGACAUGUUUUCUCUUUUAUGGUCACAGAUGUCAAGUCACCCUAAGAUAAUUGUAAAAAUAGUUUUCUGUUGUAAAGAAAUAAAAAUGAAUCUAUCUUAUUACGAAUGAGUAAUCUUAAAGAUUUUAGGCUUAUAUGCUCUUCACAAAUACUGGUUUUGUAGGGAAGUUAUUUUUAAGAGGAAUCUUCCUGGUAAGAAGGACUCUGGUAUCUCAUGGAGGAAGCAGUACUGCGGGGCUUGAUGUAAGACUAGCAGACUUCAGACCUAAGUAGAGAGGGGUUUUGUGGUAACCUGUUCACUUAGGACUUAGUGCUUCCCCUGUAAAUGGAGAGUGCUGAUUGAAGCUUGUGGUCUUGCUUCGGUUAGUUGAGACCUUUGGUGGCGUUGGGUGUGGUGCGUGUGGGUAUGAAGUUGACCUGUUGCCUUUGUGCCUGACAUCAUUUUUGUAGUUGUUCUUGCCCAGAUUCCCAUUUCCUCAGGGUGGGUCAGAGCCUGUUCUUCCUCCAGUCUUAGGAUUGGAGGAGAAAUCUUGAUAAGAUUUCACUAAUCUAGAGGCUAAUACUGGUUUUGUUUUGUUUUGUUUUGUUUUUUUAAGAGCUUAUUCUUUUGGUGUCUUCAAUUGUAUUUUUGUGCUUCAGCGGCUUCGGCAAGUGAGACUCUAGGCCCUUACUCCAGUGUCUGAGGUGAAAACAAAGAGUGAGUAUGUGCUGUAGAACUUGACAGAGUGAAGCACUGCCAUGAGAAAUAUCAGUGUUUGUCUGCGUGUAAGUAAGUGGCAGAGGGGAAAUGAAAAGGGAAAACAUUAAUAUGAGUAGCUGAAGGACAGGCAGUUCACUGAUCCUCAGCGAUUCCAGAUGCAGAGCAACUGCCCAGCCACACUGUGAAGGCAGGGCCGAUUAUAGUAACAGAGAGAGAAAAAUCAUAGUUCUUUAGGUGAUGAAUCAAAUGAACAAAGCAAUAUAUAUAUAUAUGUAUAUGUAUAUGUAUAUGUAUAUGUAUAUGUAUAUGUAUAUGUAUAUGUAUAUGUAUAUAUAUAUAUACACACACACACAUAUAUAUAUAUAUAUAUAAUUUAAAUGUUAGGUGUGGAAGAAUUUUCUUAUGCUGCUGUUUAAGCACAAUAUCAGUUUUUUCUUCUUAAAGAUAUAUUUAUUUAUUUUUACUUCAUAUGUAUGAGUAUUUCGCCAGUAUGUAAGUGUACUGCAUAUGUAUAUGGAGCCCACCGAAGGCAGAAGAAAGCAGUCCCCUGGAACUGGAGAUAUGGUCUGUUAUAAGCCAUCGUGUGGGUGUUGUGAACCAAACCUAGUCCUCUGAAAGAGCAGCUAACCGCAGAGCCAUCUGUCCCACCCCUAAAUUGAAUUUCUUAGGUUUUAUGUUCACUUUGCCCAUUUCCGUAACUGUCUUUCUUGUUGAGUAACCUGCCCUUUCAGCAGAUGCUCUAGUUUCUUUUAUAGCCCAUAGAUAUGUUGUUACCUAUUUAUCUGUCAGUUGUUGGGGCAGAGUUCAAGUGAUAAUUGGCAUUUAGGCAUUUAGUACUCAGGAGGGCUACACAGUCACAGCACAUGUCCCUGAGAGGCCUCGAUAUAGGAGCGUAAAAUCCAUGUUGAACAUUAACAUGAAGGAAUG